rnacentral:rRNA from 1 species
UACGUAGGGUGCAAGCGUUGUCCGGAAUUAUUGGGCGUAAAGAGCUCGUAGGCGGUUUGUUGCGUCGGCUGUGAAAUCCCGAGGCUCAACCUCGGGUCUGCAGUCGAUACGAGUAAACUAGAGUGUUGCAGGGGAGACUGGAAUUCCUGGUGUAGCGGUGAAAUGCGCAGAUAUCAGGAGGAACACCGGUGGCGAAGGCGGUUCUCUGGGCAUUACCUGACGCUGAGGAGCGAAAGUGUGGGGAGCGAACAGG